GUUGUUGAACCAAAACUUACCGCAAAUGUACCGUAUAAUCAAUGAAAGAACGAAGAGAUGAUUAGCCCUUGCAGCCGCCAUGAAAUCUGUGGAGUUUUUAGUUCUGCUUGCUGUUCUAACCUCAGGUAUAGGCAUUCUGAUUUAAUCUCAUUGGUCUUCUCUGUUUUCCAGAAACCCAUACCUUUGCCAUCAAUCGAUCUGAUCUCCUUUUCUUUAUGUUGUUGUUUCUCAUCUUCAGAGUUUAUGCAAGAAGUCAGCUGAUAUGAUAGAAUUGAAGAUUGGUGACACGGUAUGCUAAAAAAGCUCUUUUGUGUCGUUAAAUUUUGGAGGCAACUGGUAUCAACUUCCAUGGUUAACUUGAUCUCUCAAUCUGCGUGAUUGGAAGGUGACUCAGUAAUGAAAUAUUCAUUUUUACAAUUCAAGCCUCGGAAAUGUGAUGUUCAG
rnacentral:lncRNA from 1 species